CCAUCGAGGAUAUUGAUUCCUAUGCAGUUGACCGACCUACGUCAUGUGGUCGGCUUAUGUCAAUUCGAUGCUAGCUGUGAUCGAUCGGAUGGGUUUGACAUAACUUGACCAAAUUACUCAGGUUCGCAUCUGCCUAGGAAUCAACUUUUCUGAUAUAGACGAUAUUACAUAA